CCUACGGGAGGCAGCAGUGGGGAAUAUUGCACAAUGCUGGAAACCCUGAUGCAGCGACGCCGCGUGAAUGAAGAAGUCCUUCGUUAUGUAAAGCUCUAUCAGCAGGGAAGAAAAUGACUAUACCUGAGUGAGAAGCCCCUGCUAACUACGUUCCAGCAGCCGCGGUCAAACGGAGGGGGCAAGGGUUCUCCGGAUUUACUGGGGGUAAAGGGGUCGUAGGCGGCAGUGCAAGUCUGGAGUGAAAGGCGGGGGCUCAACCCGCGGACUGCUCUGGAAACUGUACGGCUGGAGUGCAGGAGAGGUAAGUGGAAUUCCUAGUGUAGCGGUGAAAUGCGUAGAUAUUAGGAGGAACACCAGUGGCGAAGGCGGCUUACUGGACGGAAACUGACGUUGAGGCGCGAAAGCGUGGGGAGCAAACAGGAUUAGAUACCCGAGUAGUC
rnacentral:rRNA from 1 species